AGAGAGAGAGAGAGAGAGAGAGAGAGAGAGAGAGAGAGAGAGAGAGAGGAAAUCCAUAUGUACCAAUACACACGCUUCAAGUUUGUGUGGACAUGCAUAAGUUGCUGUUAGUCGAUUUACGAAUUAAGGUUUUAAUUUCAGGUGCCAUAAUAUUGAUGAGAAGUUAUGAAUUGGUUAUAUUAGAUGCAUUACAGUGUUUUUUUUUGUUUUUACAAUAAAUGAAUAUGCGAUUACGUAAUACUUUAGUAUGUUACACAGACUGCAUUUCGGGUCUAUAUCUGUGCAUGUGAAAACUUUUUGCAUUAAACUGCCGUUUUAAUAUGAAAUCU
rnacentral:misc_RNA from 1 species